rnacentral:lncRNA from 1 species
CUCCGCGGCUCUUGCCAGGAGCAGAGCGCAAGGGAGCCGGGGAGCACCAGCCCGAGCCCGGCUCCCGCUGGGGAUGGAUGGGGCUCAGCGCCGGGCUCCGGUCGGACUCGUUCUGCUCUCCCUCCCUCUGCUCCCACAGCCUCAAGCCUCAUCUCCCCUGCCCACGGCUGCAGCAAAGCCCCGUCUCGAGCAUGUCACAUGGAAUGAACCAGGAAAACUCCACGCAAAACCUUCUGAUUGCUGGCUUCCAGAGGAAAAUUCCCUCCUGGCCAGAAAGCGAGGAGGACAAGUGAGACAGUGGUUGAACCUCACCUGAAUCAUUUUUCCAGUUUGCCAUUCAGCCACCAGAACACGUCCCUACAGCUCUGGAUCCAGCAGUUUAACAGCUCUAUUGUUUUCACUUGACUCCUGUGAAACUACCUGUGCUGGGAGUCAGCCACGUGGCUUUGAGUCUCCCUGAAUCCAUGCCCAAACAAACUUUAGAAGUCAAACCAGGUGAUGGGCAGAGCCUGGCAGGGAGCCCCAGAAUCCUGGCUGGCCCUUCAGUGCUGAGCUCGGGACCCUUCUCAUCCUCCAGGUCUGCAGAGCUCCCUACAACACAUCUGGCUGAAGAGGGAAGGAUGGGGGCUGAAAGGGGAAUUAUUUUCUUUUGCAGCUUUCAGUGCUUAUGACCCAAAUUGGGGAAGUGUGUAAGCUGAAAGAAAUGCCUGGGUGGAUUUGAAACUGAGAUCAGGGAUACAUUUUUCAGUGGUUCUUAUAUUAGUUUAAAAUGUACUUUUCACUCUUAUGAGCAUAGCUUCCUUUAAAUAAAUACACAGAUAACUUCUCCUGGUUGCCA